UUUAUAAACCACAUGGUUAUUGGAUUAAAGAUGACCUUUUUUUGAAAGUUAUUGUUUAGAGAUGGACUUGCGGAUAUUAGCUUGUUGGUGGGGUAAUGGUUUACCAAGGCUGCGAUGGUUAGCCGACCUGAGAGGGUGAUCGGCCAUAUUGGGACUGAGAUACGGCCCAGACUCCUACGGGAGGUAGCAGUAGGGAAUUUUGCGCAAUGGACGAAAGUCUGAUGUAGCAACUUCGCGUGAGGGAUGAAGGCCUUUGGGUUGUAAACCUCUGUUGAGUGGGAAGAAAAAGCCUUAUAUUAAUAUUAUAAGGCUAUGAUGGUACCAUUCGAGGAAGCAUCGGCUAACUACGUGUUAGCAGCCGCGGUAAUACGUAGGGUGCUAGCGUUGUUCGGAAUCACUGGGCGUAAAGGGAGCGUAGGCGGAAAGGUAAGUUAGAAGUGAAAUGUAUUGGUUUAAUUGGUAAUUUGCUUUUAAUACUGCUUUUCUUGAGUAUUGGAGAGGAGGAUGGAAUUCCAGGUGUAGUGGUGGAAUGUGUAGAUAUCUGGAAGAAUAUUAGUUGUGAAGGUGGUCAUCUGGCCAAAUACUGACGCUGAGGCUCGAAAGCUAGGGGAGUGAAUAGGAUUAGAUAUCCUGGUAGUCCUAGUUGUAAAUGAUGGACACUAGAUGCCGGAAGUGUUAUGCUUUCGGUGUCGAAGUUAAUGUAUUAAGUGUCCCGCCUGGGGAGUACGCUCGCAAGGGUGAAACUCAAAGGAAUUGACGGGGGCCCGCACAAGCGGUGGAGCAUGUGCUUUAAUUCGAUGCAAUGUGAAGAAUUUUACCUGGUCUUGACAUGGGAGUGAAAUUUUCCAGAGAUGGAAAGUUUUCCUUCGGGAACACUCCACACAGGUGUUGCAUGGUUGUCGUCAGCUCGUGUUGUGAGACGUUGGGUUAAGUUUCGCAACGAGUGCAACCCCUAUCCUUAGUUGCCAUCAGGUAAUGUUGGGAACUUUAGGGAGAUUGUUUGGAUUAAUUAGGAGGAAGGUGGGGAUGACGUCAAAUUCUCAUGGCCCUUACGACCAGGGUUAGACACGUGCUACAAUGGGCGGUACAACGGGAUGCUAACUCGUGAGAGUAUGUUAAUCCCUUAAAACCGUUUUCAGUUCGGAUUGGAGUCUGUAAUUUGACUCCAUGAAGGUGGAAUCGCUAGUAAUUGCGGAUUAGUAUGUCGCGGUGAAUACGUUCCCGGGCCUUGUACACACCGCCCGUCAAGCCAUGAAAGAUGGUAGUACCCGAAGUCGUUUUUCUAACCCGUAAGGGAGGAAAACGCCGAAGGUAAGACUAUUGAUUGGGGCUAAGUCGUAACAAGGUA
rnacentral:rRNA from 1 species